GAGUGAGGGGGAGACACAGUGAGGGGGGGGUGACUGGUGACAGAGUGAGGGAGUGGGUGACUCCCUCUCUCUGUCACUAGUCACCCCUUCCCUCCCUCACUCUGUCACUAGUCACCCCAUCCCUCCCUCUGUCACUAGUCACCCCCUCACUAGUCACCUCAUCCCUCUCUUUGUCACUAGUCACUCCCUCCCUAACUC